ensembl:sense_intronic Gm11656 predicted gene 11656
CAGUAAAUACAUUCACUUUAAUUAUUCAUUUCUAUUUGCUUGAAGAAACAUUCUUACAUGACACGCAUACGUCCGUGCAUUUCCUUGUUGCAGCAACAUGAAUUAAAUAAGCCGCUUUCACAAGUAGACCAACUCCAAGGGAUUUCUCGAUAACUUGUUUUCUCUAUGCUCUUCGCACUUCCUCCUCUCAGCUGAAGAAAAGGUAGAGCCUGGUAACCCGGAAGAUGUCAGGAACAAGACAGGAGGAUCUUUCCAGUGCUCCUUCAAGUAACUUGGCUGACUUUCUAUUCACUGGAAAUCUUCCUCCAAGUAUCCAGAGAGUGACACAAUGCACAGCCCGUGUCUUACAAGAACACUUGA